rnacentral:lncRNA from 12 species
GGUGACAGUGGCAGGGCGCUGGUGACAGCCGCCCAGCAGUGCCAGCCCGUCCCCGCCGUGUCCCCGCAGCCCCCGAGGGUGACACGGGGACAGCGCCGGUGCCACCCCCCGAGGUCCCCGAGCCGGACACGGAGCAGGCGCGGGUGCUGGAGCUGGCCCAGACAGAGGAGCUGGCUCUGUCCCUGUCCCGUGCCAUCUCUCUCGGUGACACGGUGGCUGCGGCGCAGAGCGCGGUGGCGCUGGCCCGGCGCCACGCGGAGCUGAGCGUGACCCUGAGGGACAGCGAGCCCGGAGCCGAGAUCAGGUCA